ACAAAAUUGUGUAUUUGUAUUUUUGUGUACGUACAAUUUUCUGCUAAGCAGAAGGAGGAUGUAGUAUAGGAUGCUGUGAGAAGAGAUUUGGUUUAAUCCUAUUUCUUUGUUACUUAUUUUUGUUAACAUCAGAUGCCUGUCUUUGUCUUAUAUGUGUAUGACACUGUUUGGAAAGCUGCAGUAUCUCUCUUCCUGAGGUCCAGAGGCCAUUAAAGAAUAAACAUGGGGCUUAGAGGUGUCUUGGCCACCAAACACAGAUCAGGUUACCACAAUGCCUCCCCGCUGCUGACGCUUCAUCCCCCACACCUCCAGCCCCAGUUACCUGGAGCUUCUCAGAACCCACUUUGCCGGUGCUAAAACACAAGAGGGGGUGAAAGUGGCUGCCAGUAAUGGCCAGAAACCAACCACCAGAGGCCAGGCUGAAAGACAAGCUCCGGGUGUCCAGGGGCUGACGGGCCAACCAUGUGGCAGGUCCCAGGCCCCACCCACUGCGCCAUCCGCCUCUGAGCUCCACAGUGGUCCCACUAAUGGGAACCUCCUCUAGGGAGAGUGAUACUGCACCUUCACCCGUAGGACUCAUAUUUAUAACAAUGUGUAAUGGCUGUAGCAAAAAGCCCUUGUUUCUAGAUGUAAAUGGUCAAAGAAACAAGCGCUCUAUUGUUUUGAAUAAAAUAGUUCAAAUGAGUCCUGUAUCAUUGUAUCUCCUAUUCUGGAUUAGUGCCU
rnacentral:lncRNA from 1 species